ensembl:snoRNA
AUAUCCAUCCUAAUCCCUGCUGGCCAGUCAGUGAUCUGCCAGGGUUCACUUGUGGACCACAGCGCUGUAGAAGCCCAGCCAAAGUUGAGCACGGCCUUUGUAGGCUUAUGCCAGUGACGCUUCUGCACACAG